GGCUUAGUAGCUCAACCGGUAGAGCGUUUGCCGCGUUGAGGCAUACUGUAUCUGUCGCUGGUUUGAGUCCAGCCGAAGCCC
rnacentral:tRNA from 1 species